GCAAGUCGAGGGGUAACAGGGAUUGCUUGCAAUCCGCUGACGACCGGCGCACGGGUGCGUAACGCGUAUGCAACCUACCUUCUACAGGGGGAUAGUCAAUAGAAAUGUUGAAUAAUACCCCAUACGAUCUUUGAAUAGCAUUAUUUAAAGAAGAAAGUUCCGGCGGUAGAAGAUGGGCAUGCGUCCUAUUAGUUAGUUGGUAAGGUAACGGCUUACCAAGACUAUGAUAGGUAGGGGUUCUGAGAGGACAAUC
rnacentral:rRNA from 1 species